GAUGAACGCUGGCGGCGUGCCUAAUACACGCAAGUCGAGCGAACAGACGAGGAGCUUGCUCCUCUGACGUUAGCGGCGGACGGGUGAGUAACACGUGGAUAACCUACCUAUAAGACUGGGAUAACUUCGGGAAACCGGAGCUAAUACCGGAUAAUAUAUUGAACCGCAUGGUUCAAUAGUGAAAGACGGUUUUGCUGUCACUUAUAGAUGGAUCCGCGCCGCAUUAGCUAGUUGGUAAGGUAACGGCUUACCAAGGCAACGAUGCGUAGCCGACCUGAGAGGGUGAUCGGCCACACUGGAACUGAGACACGGUCCAGACUCCUACGGGAGGCAGCAGUAGGGAAUCUUCCGCAAUGGGCGAAAGCCUGACGGAGCAACGCCGCGUGAGUGAUGAAGGUCUUCGGAUCGUAAAACUCCGUUAUUAGGGAAGAACAAAUGUGUAAGUAACUAUGCACGUCUUGACGGUACCUAAUCAGAAAGCCACGGCUAACUACGUG
rnacentral:rRNA from 1 species